ACUGACUUAUAUGUUGAUAACAAUAGCAAUUGCUUCCCUGCGUAUCAUCAUUACUACUGCCUAUAUCGUACCUAUAUUUUGAGUUUUCUGUGGAGAAUGAAUGGCUCAAGUUAAUGAAGCUAAUGAAAUAUCAAAAACCUACCAAAAAUAAAAAUGCCAUUUAUGUCUGCCUGUCACCACAUAGAAAGCUUUCCGAAAGACACAAUUCCUUGGUGAACCUAUUGUACUGCAUCAUAAAAGCGGAAGAAGGAGGUGAAAUCAACUUGCCGACUGUUUAGCUGUGGUAAAAGCUAUCAAAUCCAUGAAUCCAGGAACCUAUUCAAUUCUCAAGAACAUUUCUGUCAUAAUGUGGUCGGACCCGUUCACCAAGGAAGUUCGCAGUAAUCAAAGCAUUCAUUUUACUCCUAUUAUCAAGACAAAUUCUGACAUUUUACAACAUUCUACAGUCACAUAGAAGACUGGCUUAUGAUGGCGAAAGACUUUUGAAGGCGGUUACCUUGAUUGGGAUCAUAUCUAUUAAACCUUCGAAUCCUGCACUCAAAAGUAAAUGUGAUACCAUUCAAAUGGAAUAAGAUUGAUUUGAAUUGGAAUUUGUUAUUCCUGUAUCAUAGUGCAUUUUUCUACUAGUUACCCUACGUAUUGUACAUUAUUGUAAUAAAGCACUAGCUGUUCCAUAGUAGAAGUCUUUGAAAUAAAAUGUUUCUUUUU